UGUGAACUCGAAGAGUAGGGCGGGACACGUGGUAUCCUGUCUGAAUAUGGGGGGACCAUCCUCCAAGGCUAAAUACUCCUGACUGACCGAUAGUGAACCAGUACCGUGAGGGAAAGGCGAAAAGAACCCCGGCGAGGGGAGUGAAAAAGAACCUGAAACCGUGUACGUACAAGCAGUGGGAGCACCUUCGGGUGUGACUGCGUACCUUUUGUAUAAUGGGUCAGCGACUUAUAUUCUGUAGCAAGGUUAACCGUAUAGGGGAGCCGCAGGGAAACCGAGUCUUAACUGGGCGUUAAGUUGCAGGGUAUAGACCCGAAACCCGGUGAUCUAGCCAUGGGCAGGUUGAAGGUUGGGUAACACUAACUGGAGGACCGAACCGACUAAUGUUGAAAAAUUAGCGGAUGACUUGUGGCUGGGGGUGAAAGGCCAAUCAAACCGGGAGAUAGCUGGUUCUCCCCGAAAGCUAUUU
rnacentral:rRNA from 1 species